rnacentral:rRNA from 1 species
AGCGGCGAACGGGUGAGUAACACGUAAAGAACCUGCCUCAUAGACUGGGAUAACUAUUGGAAACGAUAGCUAAUACCGGAUAACAGCAUUAACUGCAUGGUUGAUGUUUAAAAGUUGGUUUUGCUAACACUAUGAGAUGGCUUUGCGGUGCAUUAGCUAGUUGGUGGGGUAAAGGCCUACCAAGGCGACGAUGCAUAGCCGACCUGAGAGGGUGAUCGGCCACACUGGGACUGAGACACGGCCCAGACUCCUACGGGAGGCAGCAGUAGGGAAUCUUCCGCAAUGGGCGAAAGCCUGACGGAGCAACGCCGCGUGAGUGAAGAAGGAUUUCGGUUCGUAAAGCUCUGUUGUUAGGGAAGAAUGAUUGUGUAGUAACUAUACACAGUAGAGACGGUACCUAACCAGAAAGCCACGGCUAACUACGUGCCAGCAGCCGCGGUAAUACGUAGGUGGCAAGCGUUGUCCGGAAUUAUUGGGCGUAAAGCGCGCGCAGGUGGUUUAAUAAGUCUGAUGUGAAAGCCCACGGCUCAACCGUGGAGGGUCAUUGGAAACUGUUAAACUUGAGUGCAGGAGAGAAAAGUGGAAUUCCUAGUGUAGCGGUGAAAUGCGUAGAGAUUAGGAGGAACACCAGUGGCGAAGGCGGCUUUUUGGC